GGGCAAGCGGCUGCUAUACAUGCAGUCGAGCGAAUGGAUUAAGAGCUUGCUCUUAUGAAGUUAGCGGCGGACGGGUGAGUAACACGUGGGUAACCUGCCCAUAAGACUGGGAUAACUCCGGGAAACCGGGGCUAAUACCGGAUAACAUUUUGAACCGCAUGGUUCGAAAUUGAAAGGCGGCUUCGGCUGUCACUUAUGGAUGGACCCGCGUCGCAUUAGCUAGUUGGUGAGGUAACGGCUCACCAAGGCAACGAUGCGUAGCCGACCUGAGAGGGUGAUCGGCCACACUGGGACUGAGACACGGCCCAGACUCCUACGGGAGGCAGCAGUAGGGAAUCUUCCGCAAUGGACGAAAGUCUGACGGAGCAACGCCGCGUGAGUGAUGAAGGCUUUCGGGUCGUAAAACUCUGUUGUUAGGGAAGAACAAGUGCUAGUUGAAUAAGCUGGCACCUUGACGGUACCUAACCAGAAAGCCACGGCUAACUACGUGCCAGCAGCCGCGGUAAUACGUAGGUGGCAAGCGUUAUCCGGAAUUAUUGGGCGUAAAGCGCGCGCAGGUGGUUUCUUAAGUCUGAUGUGAAAGCCCACGGCUCAACCGUGGAGGGUCAUUGGAAACUGGGAGACUUGAGUGCAGAAGAGGAAAGUGGAAUUCCAUGUGUAGCGGUGAAAUGCGUAGAGAUAUGGAGGAACACCAGUGGCGAAGGCGACUUUCUGGUCUGUAACUGACACUGAGGCGCGAAAGCUGGGGGAUCAAAAAGGAUU
rnacentral:rRNA from 1 species